AACUGAGUGGGAGAGGCGGGCUGGACCCUGACUAUUGGACCAUGGUCACGAGGAGGCGGGGCGAGCGCGGCUCCUGACUGGUUGCGCGAGCGAAGUGCCAGUCCUGGCGGAGGGAAGAUGGCGGCGUAAAGGAGGUGAACUGUCGCUGUAAAAAUUCAGGAAUGAAGCGGUUCUGGAGCCAUAGCGUUCUGUCUGGUUGACCUCUAUUAAACUGCUGCUAUAAAGACUAUGAUCUCUGGUGCCCACUGCAAAGGAUCAAGGGCGAGUGUGAUGCCAUUGGAAUGAGAUUCACCAUGUCCAAAUUUGAGGUCAUGGUCCUGUCCCAUAAGAAAGCAGCUUGUUGUUUCCAGAUGAUGUGCCAACUCUUUGAUGUCUCUAACAUGCAGAAUUCCUGUGAAACUGAGCGGAAGGUGCAGAAUCUUGGUGGACUUCCCUGGUGUCUGCCUUUGGUUGAAGCUGAACUCAAGCUUUUUGAGGAUGCUUAUCUUCUUGAUUUUAAUUUCUGCAAAGACUGCCAAACAAGAUUAUAGCCUGCUUGAAGCCCCAAUACGACCAGUAUGUUGCCUUCUGUUCCAGAAAGACCAACAGCAACCCUCUGUUUCUGCAAAGGGCAUGAUUGUAGCCCUGGAAGCAAAAACGGUUUAGCAAUACAAUUUUUAGUUCACAGCAUUUUAUUUUUGCCUUCUGGAUUACAUUUUUCCAAGUAGCACGCAAGCAUUAAAAGCACAUUUAGCACUUUUUUGGGGUGGAGUUAGUUUUACACUUAAAAUCAUCAGUGUUUGUGCCUCAUGCACUGAUAUUCCACAGUAUGAAGAUCUUUGUGUUUUCAAAGCUCUGCUUAUUUCUUCACUUCCUUUAUUGUUGUGUUCUAAUGGAUAUGUAUUUUUUUUAACUCAUGGUGUAAGGCUAAGUAGUUGUUUAUUAAAAUGAAGAACAGAAUAUUUUAGGUUUGCUUUUGUCUCGAAAGUUAGGAUUUUCAGUGUCUGCUGAGACACUCUGCAGUGACAAAUAAGCUUGCUUGGAAGAGGUGUAGGAUAUAGUGAAACACAGUUAACAAAAUGAGCAAAUCAAGGUAAAGUGAUAAAAAAUUAGUUUUCAUACUUCUUAUGCAUUUGCAGUGGAAGUGUUUAUUUAACAUUUUGCACUUAGUUUACAGAUAGGAAAAAUAUUUAAUUAUUUUCUGCCCUUUGAACUGUGGUAUGAAUUUUGUGUAUUUGAUGGCAGAAGAAUCACUAGAUGUCCUGAGCUACUAGUCCUUCUGUUUCAGAACAACUGUAUAAAUGUUUAUGGGUGUGUUUUUUUCUUUUUGGGCUAUAGAUUAUUACAUUACUGUACUAAAGCUUUGCAUGGCUGAACCCUUGCAAUGUAUUUCUUAAGACUUUUUUUCCUGUAAUUCUGCAAAAGCUUGUUUACACUUUGUUUUUAGUUAAUUCUUAUACCUAAUAUAGGACUAUCACAGGUUGGAUAACCUCGACAGACAUCAGUAUACUGAAAGGAAAUUUUACUACAUUUUUCUGAGGAGAUUAUUUUUUUAAAACCAACUGUUAUCCAAUUUUUUGUAUCAUUCUUAAAAUAGCUAAUUGAUUCCAAGUCAUACUACUCAGGCCAAAGUCUGGACUGAUCAGUGCUGGACAAUUUUCUAUUUCUUUUCAUUUGAUUCAAAAUGCAACAUUAAAACUGCCUUUUAGGGAAGAGUAAAGAAUUAUGUUUCAGACCUAAGUGGAUAGCGGAUAGAAACAAAGUGGUUUUUUUUUUAGUUGUUUUUCUUGUUUUUAAUAUCACCUAAGUAUGUGGGUAUGUGCAAUAUGUUCUUUAUAAAUAAUUGUGAAACAAGUGACAAGUUGUUUAAGAACAACAAAAUCACCAACGUCUUCCAUUUUAAGAUGUAUAGUUCCAUGCGUAUUAGCUUAACAGCACAUGAUAGUGCCAUGUUAGUAGCCAUGCAUGUUAGCAAUGCUUGCAAAACUAGCAAUUUUAACAAGAAUUGAUAUCCAUUGGAGCUGUGGUAAGAGAAUGAGGCAUCCAAGUUGUUUUUAUUUUAUUUUAUUUUGCAAACUGAAAAGGCACUGAACAUAUUUAAUACUGUAGGUGGUGGGGGGUGUUUAAUUUGUAGACCUCUAGGCAUUUCAACAAAACUGAUUUUUCGUAACACAAUAACAUGGAACAUUUAGUUAUGUGUCUAGUUUUAAAUAAUUCAUUAGGGUUUGAUAUCUUUGUGAUGUAAAUCUAAAAUAAAAUUAAAAUUGUUGCGUACUGCUUAAACUGUACAAGUAUACAGUAUUAAAUGGAGGCUGCAAAACCAAAGUCUGCCUUCAGAAACCAUUUUAACCCUUUACAGCACUUUUCCAAUACUAGAGCAUAGUUAGGUCUAGACUGCCCUUUAUUCAAUUUAUUUAUUUUUCCAUUAACCAAAGGAGAGUUAGUUAUAUCUGUGCAUUGUAUGCUAAGAUUCAGCAUGUUGUUUUUUUUCAUUUAUUGUUUUCUUGUUAGCCCCUCAUGUUCAGUGUGUAAAUUUUGAACAGUGUAUGUUCCACAAAAAGGUCAUUGUGUGUUCUUUAAACAACAUAAUACAUUUUAAAUGUUUUGGCAGUAUUGAGUUUUGCAUAAUGAAAAAGAGUAGGAAAUAGGUAAAAUAAAUAUAGGAAAACAAAAUUUACAUGAACAGCUUCUUAAACCAUUUUAUACAUAUAGUGCUGAACCUUGUUUAGCAUCACCUUGCUUAAUUCCAGAGUGUCUUACAUACUAUUAUUAAAGUCAUUUUCUAACCCAUUUAGCUCUGAACAUACCGUAGUCGCGGAGGGUUUUUGAGCCUAUCCCAGAAAGCACAGAGACCAAGGCAGGAACAGACCCAGGACAGGGUGCCAUUCCAUUGCACGGCAAACACACACACUGCCCAAUUUAUUGUGUCCAAUUUAACAUCGCCAGUUCACCUAACCUUUAUGUCUUUGGACUGUGGGAGGAAACCCAAGCAGACACUGGAAGAAUAUUCAAACUCUACACAGGGAGGACCCAGGACACAAACCCUAGUCUCCUUACUGCGAGAUAGCAGUGCUACCAUUGCGCCACUACGCCACCCUGUUAUUAAAGUAAAAGCAUGAAAUGUGAAAAAGAAAGCAUAAUAAAAUACAAAAGCCAAUGCUCAAUUACAUGGUGCUUACCUGUUUUCAGCAAUCAGUUGUGUGUGUAGUAUAUGCUUUGAACCACACAAAACUGAAAGAGUUUCAUCACUCCUUAAUGCCCUUUUCUUGUAUUAAACGAGUCUUUAUUGUGUAAUCUGUUGUAAUCCUUUGACCUCUGGAACAAAGUAAGAGUGCUAAGUGAGAUUCAAUUGGAAAGCUGUUUUAGUGAAUAUCAGGCUACAGAAAUGUGGUACUUGGGUGUUCAGUAGCAGAUAAAUAUUUCACAGUAUUUUUAGAGUUAAGCAUUGAGCUUGCUAAUUUUUUUGUUAAUAACAAUUAUAUAUUAGUGGUAUUCUCACUACUUCAAUGUUUUUAAUUAAGUAUAAAAAUGUUUCAUAGGCUGAGAGUCCAAAUUUGGUUUGAUGCUCCUGCAUUCUCUGUAUAGAAAAAUGUUUUGAUUUUAUUUAAAUUAAUUAGCCAGACCCCCUAGAAGCCAAUAAGUUAGUGUCCUGCCAUUGAUUAAACAUUAUUACAUGCUUAAAAAAAUAAAAAGGAUGACUCAGCCUCUGAUUACUUGCCCUAGGGUGUCGAUUAUAUUUUUGUCAUAUAAAUUAUUACAUAAUUACGAAUGAAUUAGUUCUAGUUAUAGACAGUAGAGUAGUGCUUAGCUAAACAUAUUUAAGCGCAAAAUACCUCACAUUUUCAACUUCAGAUAGCACACCAUCUAGGUAAAUCCUAAUGCAAAUUAAGCCAUAUUUUGAUAUUAGAAUAUUAGAAGCAAUAAUAAUGUUAUGCAUGAACUAGUGUUGGAAUGAUACGAUCAUACAGUAGGUAGAAUGAAUAAACAUAUAUAGUGAUUAUUGUUAAAUAAUGUAGGGGAAAGGAGGCAAGUUUUAUUAGCUGGAUUAACGGUAGAAAUCUGUCUAUAUUUUUACUUGUACUGCAUGAAUGGACUUGAACAGUCCUGUAUUUCUGGUGUAUUAUGUGGGUGCAAAGUUAUGAACAAAUGAUUUUCCAGUUCUUUUAGACAGCUUUUUUUACAUGUCUGCUCAAACACAAUAUUUAUGUAGCUUGUAUUAUAAAAAUUAACCAUUGAAAAAAAUCUUUGAGAUAAAUUUUUUGCUGUAAAUAAACUCCUGUCCAGUGUCAGAUCUUCAUACAGAUCUCUCCAAGUCAGUGGUGAUAAUUUCCUUCAGUAUUUUUUUUUUUGUGUUUUUUUGUUUUGUUUUGGUUUUUUUUCCCUAUAACUAAUAUAACCAACAGGUUUAACAUUCCUUACGUUGAAUACAGAGCCAGAAGAGAUACCAGCAAGGGAUCCCUACAUAAUUUUUUUAGCGCUAUCUUUCCUUAAAUUUUAAAUGCCAAACUCGUGAAGCAUUGUGUUUUUAAUUUGCAAAGUGUAUUCCUUUUAGUAAACCUAACUGGAGAUUUUUACUAUUAUUUGAAAACCUUGCAGCAAAUUCCACAUUUCACAAUUAAUCCUUGCUAAAUUAAAAAGAUGGGAGAGCACUUCUAAAACCAACUCCUCUGUAGAUAAGUGAAUUGUAAACUGUCUUGACCAGUCUUGAAUAGCUGUUUUCUUAGUAAACAUCAGCAAUGAAUGGAAGACUGGUGUUAACAACCUAUUAUGUAUAAACACUUUGUCAGUACUACAAUAUCUCCAAAAAACAAGCUAACAGCACUAAUAACUUUUUGCCACGUGUUUAUAAUUUAUCAAGAGAGAGGAUUUUUUUUUUUAAAUUUAAAGAUAAGGUACUGCAAAUAAGAAUAUGCAUGUUGUCAGAAGUGUUAAAAUUAGUUAAUACUGGAAAGGAAUGCAUAAUGCAGAUUUAGGUGAUAUUUGAAAAAGCAAUAGUACAAAAAGUUCCAAUGUAUUGAACAAGUAGGGGGUGUACUGAUGUACAUUUUGUAACUGUUGUCUAUGAAGCCACUAAGUUACAUGGCUUUCUCUGUGUUAAUACAAUGAAUAUUUAGUCUGAUUAAAGUGUUCCGUUUUAGUGCUUUCUUCACUUUAAUUUGCUAGUUUACUCAUGGUCUGGCAAUAUAUGCAGACAGUACAUGCAUUGUAAUGAUUGGUAAAAAAAAUGUUUUUUAAAAAGGUGGUAAAUUAAGCAUGUUAAGCUAAAUUAUUUUCUAAUUGUCUCAGACUGUUGCAUCAGUGCUGUUUUGUGCACAAUUAAUACCUAUCUUAAUCGGAGGUUUUGGUGCAAGUAGCAUCAUUACACUUUGUUGGACACAUUUCUAACAAUUGUAUUUGUAUACAUUUUUUUGUAUUAACACUCAUAAUCCUUUCAAGUUUUCUGGUGAUAUAAGAUCUUAUGACAAAAGCAGCAAGGUUAUGUUUAAUUUUAAUUUUAUUUUUUAAGACUCCUUUGUAGUCGAUUACCAAGUUGUUUUUUUCACUGCACCUUAAUAUCUUAAACCACAGCACAUGUGUGUAUUUUUGAAAUCCUGAUGCCUGUGACCUUGUGGAACAAAUUUGGAGCACAUCUCCUGAUUAUCUGUUACAAGGCAAUUCUUGGUAUAUUUGGUAAACCAGUCCUCAGACCUACAUAGCCUACUAGCUGGGCUGGAAACUUGAAAGCAUUAAGGCAAUAUCACUUUACUUAACUUGAUGAUGUGCUAUUGAUAUAAACAUAUCCUCUUCUGGUGAUCAAGGUGUUUGCUAUUUGGAAGAGUAUUUUGAGAAAGUGGCAUUUGGUUGAAAUUUUAAAAUGUAAAUGAAACGUUCUGCCAAAAGGACAUGUAGCAACAGGUAUCAAAUUUGGUUCAACUCCUGUUUAAGUAGCAUCCUCCUCGAUAAUUCUCCAGACAGACGUUUGCCAGCCAGUUCUUGUUUAUGAAAACAUUGGUGUUGGGUAUAGAAACAGCUUUUAAUUAGAAAAACUCUUGUAAGAUUUAGUUUUCUUAAAUUUUAAGUUAGUUCUUUUAAAGAUUAUUAAUUUUGGUGCACCUGGCACACACUUUGCCAUGCCUUUGAUUUAUUUGCUUCAGUUCACACAUAUAUAUAUAUAUAUAUAUAUAUAUAUAUAUAUAUAUAUAUAUAUAUAUAUAUAUAUAUAUAUAAACUUUGCACCCAUGAGCUACGAUGUUAUUUCUUUAUCCUUAAAGCUUUAAAAGCUCUGUAAUUAGUCUGAUCAGCUUAAUAUUUUGGUCCUUUUGCCGUUUUCCAUCAGAAGUUUUCAGGUAAAAGCUUUAUGUGGACUUGACACUUCUGGUAGUGAUGAACCAAGAAUGUGAAAUAUAUCUGUACUGUGUAUACUCAAGGAACAAAAAAAUGAAUGCUUUGCUGAAUUCACAUAUCCAACGUGUACAAAGUUUACUAGCAGCUGACAUUUUCACAUAGAAAGGAAAAAGGAAAAAAAAAGAGAGUUUUAGUGUUUCACCCAUUCUUUUUUUUCACACAAAUUUGUGUUUUACAUAAAGUCUCCUGAAGGGUGAUCAUUGUGUUGAUAAUAGUUUAAUUCAGUUAGGAAUGUUGACUGGUAAAAUUAGAGUAUUUGAAAUGGCAUAGGUAGACUGUUUGUUUUUUUUAUAAAUCAUGUUAUCUGUACAUACUGUACAUUUAAUUACAUGCUUUUCACCCACAAUCUUAAAAGUUUUUCUUUUUUUUUUUUUUGUGGUUUUACAAUUCUGGGACAUUUUUGUUUUAACUGGUAUUUGUUUUGACACAGUUUGCAUUGAACUAUGCACUUCACAGAUGAGAAUAUGUCGAUGUGUUAAUGGAAAUGAGAAUUCAUGUGAAAUGGUUUUGUAUAUUUGCAACCUCUGUAUCAAAACUUCUGCAGCAAUAAAAGCAGCAUGGUGCCAUUGGAGCACUAGAGUGUA